AUUGAUUAAUUAAAAUUUCCUUUUAGAUUGGAAACAGAGAGAAGAUUAGCGUGGCCCCUGCACAAGGAUGACAUGCAAAUUCUUGAAGUAUUACACAUUUUA